GAGCUCUGCCAAGAGAGAAAGGAGGUGGUGGGAUGCAGGGAAAAAGAUGGGGAAAUAAUUAAUGUACAGCUCGCUUACAGCCUCUGGCCCCCGUGGACUGCCAGGUCCAUCAGUGGGAUUCCAGCCCCAAAAUUUGGGUUUUUUCUUUUGCUGUUUUCCGUGGUUGUGAUUGUGGAUUUGCCUGCUGGGAAUACCACAUUUAGGAGGAACGCUUUUGUUUGUUUCCUCAGGCUUUCCUAAUGAAAUUGGGCGGCCUUUUGCAAGCAGGGUCCGUAAAAAAUAAGGAAUAUUUCCUCAUAAAGUCAGUGCAAUUACCUCCCCAACGGACAUUUGUCAUGGCUUAAGCUCUCUAUAUUCAUGUGCUUGGACUCCUUUUGAGGAAUAAACAGAACAAUGGAAGAAAGGUCUUUACAUGAGAAAAAAAAAUAUUUUUUGCAGUUUACGCAUCUGUGAUGCUUUCCCACCCCAGAAAUGAGCUCCUGUGGGGCCAGGAGUAGCACUCCUUGGAACAGAACCCAAAUCCUGCUGCCCCAGUGCCCUUCUCCAGUGACACAGAGCUUUCUGCACUAUAAAUACCCACACAAGCUGCUCUGCCCCUGCUAAUACCUGGCAUUUAUAGGUCCUGCCUUAUUCAGCCUGUCCCCAGCCCUGGGGCAUCUGUUCCUGCUCAGACCCAGCACAGAUCACCGCACGAGUGAUUGGUUCACCGAUGGAGCAAAGCCCUUGCUGGGAAACAAAUCUAGGGGUGUUCUCACAGGCGAUGCUCCAGCUCCAGAACAAGGGAAGCCUUCCCAGGCACUCACCACAGUGGCAUUUGUGCGGUAUGUUGUAGGAACAAAAUUGAUUUUAGAAGCUGCCAGAGCAUCCCCAGCGCCGUCCUCGGUGCUCAAUACCGUGGUGCUGGAUGCUCUGGAUGUUUGCAUGGCCAUUUUUUAAUGGAUUAGCCUCGGGCUGCCUUCUCUGGCUCCGCAGGGAGGUGUCCCCGCGGUGCUGAUGAUCGUUCUCAUCUCCUGCAGUGAUUAACUCUCAUUGAUGUCUCAGGACGAGGACUAAUUAGUCGGCAGAGCCUGGAUUGCCAUGCUCUGUUAUCCCCAAGCUGCCUUUCCUGUCCUCCUCUAUCCUCAGCCCCAUCCUCGGAGGGAUCUGGGGGGUGAUCAGUGACUCCACAGCAUCCUGAUACCAGUUUGGAAGGGGGGGUGAGAGCAGAACCUUCAAGGUGCAGAAGGUAUAAGGAAAAAUUGAUAUUUUGGGGUCUGAACUAAUGCUUGCAAUGAGGUGUGAGCUCAGGGGAGAGUCUUGGUGCUUUGCUCCCUCUGCAGCAGCCUGGGGGCUCCUGGAGCAUCCCAGAGGGUUGGAAGUAGCAGUCCCUUACCUCUCAGCUGGCUGAAGGUGGUGAUGAACCGGCUGGUGAUGGACUUGAGCUCAUUGUUGGCCAGGGAGAUGCGCUGGAUCCCCUCGGUGACGCUCCUCAUGGCUUUGUAGAUUCCAACAGGGAAGGUCAUCAGUUUGCAGCUGGCCAGAUCUGCGCACAGAGGGGCCCAGACAAGGGUCCAACAACUUCAGUCCUCCUGCUCCCCUGUGUCCCUAAUUCCCUGGGGGUAGCUGAGCAGCCCGGGGAUGCUUAUUCCACCGCUGAAGAGGAUGGAUUUCCCUGGGCAUGCUCCUGGCUGGAUUCCUCAUGGUCAUGGGUGGUUAUCCCAUGGCAAGCGGUGGGGACAGGAAAAAAGAUUUGGUUGUGCUUCUCACCUCGUGGUCUUCUUGUUUUGUCCUGAGUUGUUUCUGUUUCGCCUCUCAGGAAACUCCACGGAUAGAAAACCUGUAUCUCAGCCCCAGGAUGGGCUCUGCUUCCUGCCCCCUUCCCAAAGCCACCACAGGGCUGAUGUUCCAUCCUCCACGUUUCUCUCAGGAGGAUGUGGAGAGCCUGAGCAAUGAAGCUCCAGCUCCCGGCACACGCUGGUUUAUAUCCCAGGGCCGGGAAUCCAGUGGGAAUAAAAAUGAGUGGCUUUCA